GGGGACCUAGCUCAGUCGGUAGAGCAUACGGCUCAUAUCCGUAGUGUCAUAGGUUCAAUCCCUAUGGUCCCUA
rfam:Treponema porcinum strain ATCC BAA-908 genome assembly, contig: EI69DRAFT_scaffold00006.6